GUCCAGGGUAGCCUAGUGGACAUGGCAUCUGCCCGGUAAGCAGAACACUGUGGGUUCGAUUCUCAUUCCUGGGCA
rnacentral:tRNA from 1 species